GCUGCUGGGACUCGGUCUGCUUGUCACGUUACAGCCAUUCUCCGGGCGAUUUAUUCAGCUGAGUCAGGAAAAGCCGCUGCCUGCUGCUUCUAAGAAACUCUCUGCACCUCAGGAGAGACAGCGCUAAUUAACACAGGUCUAAAUUAGAGCAGAACUAAGGCUAGUGCUUGGAAAACGUGGGGUGAGCAUAAAACCAGGAGGGCUGUGUGCAACCCGCUGAGCUGCCUACAGGUGCCUGAGCUUCAGGCUGUGCUUGGAGCUGGUGGCGGUGCUGCUCCGUGUGGUGCAGGCUCAGUGCGAGCUGCAAAGGCCCUUGCUGCCCUUCUCUGCAAUGCUAAGUGAAACUGGUCUCAGUCGGUCUCGGUCUCUGAACGUGCCGUUUGAAGAUGCAGUAAGACUGAAAGUAAGAUUGACUCUUGUCGUCUUCUCUGCAGAGCCCUUAUGAAAGAUGACUGUUGUGUUUCCAUCUGGAGCAGCUGAGCAGCCUGACUUAUGCCUCUGGAAGUCAGUAGAGAGAAAGCCCUGUUCACAUUCACCCCUAACUGCAUCCUGCCCUCCCAGUUUCAAUGGAGCAGUACCAACCCUGCAAAAAGCCAACCCACAAACUCCAAACUGAGGCUGAGAGGAGGAAGAUGAGCGGUUCCCUCAGAGCAGCUGAUGCUGCAGGGGAGCUGCAGGAGUGAUGCACGAAUCUCACAUUGAAAUUUAAGUUUUGGAUCUCAAAAGUAAUAGGGUUCUUCCACUCUGCAAGGACAGCUCGGUGCCUGGGGUUGCUGUGAUGUCAUUCCUUUUGGGAACCUUUUUGGGUGAAGUCAGUGCAGGUGACCUCCACCUCCAUCAGAACACCACUGGUGUGAUCCUGGGCUGCUGGAUUCUCAAUGGCUCGUAGCAGUUUCCCUGUCUGUCCAUCCACAGUGCUCCGUCAGUGUGCUGAGUUACUUCUGAGUGUUGUAAUGCAGCUGAGCUGAAUAAUCCCUGUGGAUAGGAAGAGGAGAUGGAUGCACUCUCCUCAGGAAGAAGAGUCCAAGAGGAUGAUAGCAACGAUCCAGCUGGACCUGCAAGUCAACACCAUUCCCGGAUUUAACCGAGAACUUUGGCAGUUUUUGAGUUGCUUGGGAUUUUGCCCUGGAUCCUCAGUGUCAGGAAUGGCUGCUGCCCAGAUUUGCAAGGUGUGGUACAGCCACUGCUGCUGAUGCCAAUAGUCAAGGAGAGGGGAAUGAAACCUGCUGAGACUUGGGAAUGAAACAAAUCAGCAUUAAUUAAAAGCAAAUGCUAUCUGUUGACUAAGAGGUUCCAAAGCAGAUGUUUGUCAAAAUCGCCAGGAGAUGGGUCAUCUGAAAGCAGAGGUAAUAAAUAAUGAGAACGAUGUUUCUAGUCAUUUCAUGUUUUCUCAGGUCAAAACCAGGUGUCAGACAGGGCUGGAAGUAUCACAGAGUGAAACACGUUGUGUUGUUCCACUGCAGGGAGCUCCAUGCUGCCAUCUCUGUAUUUGUGACCCAUGUGCUCAAAGCACUGUGCACCUAUGGACCCGUGGCAGCAUUACAUGCACAGCUGGCAGCGUGCUGGGCAGGCCCUCACAUCACUCCUGCUCCAUCAAAUGGCUCUCUGCAAGUUUAUGCUCAGGUGGAUGCAUGUUGGAAUGGCAUUGGCACUUCUGUGGCUCUCCAUCCCUCUCUGGCAGCAGCACAGAGGAAUUCGGGCAGCUCGCUCUGUUCUGUCCUGGGAUACAUCAAAAGAUGAAGAAAGGUCCAGCUGUGAUGCAAACCAGCUUUUCCAGUUUUCAUUUCUGCAACGUUAAACAUAUUCCAUGGAAGGACUUCAGCCACAGAAUUACUUGGGCCAUGUGGAGGGAGAUGGCAGCUGUGUCCCAACCAUUCAGAGCAUGCAGUCUUCUACAGGAGUGCUUUGGUUUUGGUCCUGCCUUCAUCGUCAAG